GAGUUUGAUCCUGGCUCAGAGUGAACGCUGGCGGUAGGCCUAACACAUGCAAGUCGAACGGCAGCACAGUAAGAGCUUGCUCUUACGGGUGGCGAGUGGCGGACGGGUGAGGAAUACAUCGGAAUCUACUUUUUCGUGGGGGAUAACGUAGGGAAACUUACGCUAAUACCGCAUACGACCUACGGGUGAAAGCAGGGGAUCUUCGGACCUUGCGCGAUUGAAUGAGCCGAUGUCGGAUUAGCUAGUUGGCGGGGUAAAGGCCCACCAAGGCGACGAUCCGUAGCUGGUCUGAGAGGAUGAUCAGCCACACUGGAACUGAGACACGGUCCAGACUCCUACGGGAGGCAGCAGUGGGGAAUAUUGGACAAUGGGCGCAAGCCUGAUCCAGCCAUACCGCGUGGGUGAAGAAGGCCUUCGGGUUGUAAAGCCCUUUUGUUGGGAAAGAAAUCCAGCUGGUUAAUACCCGGUUGGGAUGACGGUACCCAAAGAAUAAGCACCGGCUAACUUCGUGCCAGCAGCCGCGGUAAUACGAAGGGUGCAAGCGUUACUCGGAAUUACUGGGCGUAAAGCGUGCGUAGGUGGUCGUUUAAGUCUGUUGUGAAAGCCCUGGGCUCAACCUGGGAACUGCAGUGGAAACUGGACGACUAGAGUGUGGUAGAGGGUAGCGGAAUUCCUGGUGUAGCAGUGAAAUGCGUAGAGAUCAGAGGAACAUCCAUGGCGAAGGCAGCUACCUGGACCAACACUGACACUGAGCACCGAAAGCGUGGGGAGCAAACAGGAUUAGAUACCUGGUAGUCCACGCCCUAAACGAUGCGAACUGGAUGUUGGGUGCAAUUUGGCACGCAGUAUUCGAAGCUAACGCG
rnacentral:rRNA from 1 species